rnacentral:rRNA from 1 species
UACAGAGGGUGCGAGCGUUAAUCGGAAUUACUGGGCGCAAAGCGUGCGUCGGCGGUCGUGUAAGUCGGGUGUGAAAGCCCCGGGCUCAACCUGGGAAUUGCAUUCGAGACUGCACGGCUGGAGUGCGGAAGAGGGAAGCGGAAUUUCCGGUGUAGCGGUGAAAUGCGUAGAUAUCGGAAGGAACAUCAGUGGCGAAAGCGGCUUCCUGGUCCAGCACUGACGCUCAGGCACGAAAGCGUGGGGAACAAACAGG